rnacentral:rRNA from 1 species
UGGGGAAUUUUGGACAAUGGGGGAAACCCUGAUCCAGCCAUCCCGCGUGUGCGAUGAAGGCCUUCGGGUUGUAAAGCACUUUUGGCAGGAAAGAAACGUCGCGGGUUAAUACCCCGCGAAACUGACGGUACCUGCAGAAUAAGCACCGGCUAACUACGUGCCAGCAGCCGCGGUAAUACGUAGGGUGCAAGCGUUAAUCGGAAUUACUGGGCGUAAAGCGUGCGCAGGCGGUUCGGAAAGAAAGAUGUGAAAUCCCAGAGCUUAACUUUGGAACUGCAUUUUUAACUACCGGGCUAGAGUGUGUCAGAGGGAGGUGGAAUUCCGCGUGUAGCAGUGAAAUGCGUAGAUAUGCGGAGGAACACCGAUGGCGAAGGCAGCCUCCUGGGAUAACACUGACGCUCAUGCACGAAAGCGUGGGGAGCAAACAGGAUUAGAUACCCUGGUAGUCCACGCCCUAAACGAUGUCAACUAGCUGUUGGGGCCUUCGGGCCUUGGUAGCGCAGCUAACGCGUGAAGUUGACCGCCUGGGGAGUACGGUCGCAAGAUUAGAACUCAAAGGAAUUGACGGGGUCAUAGCUGUUUCCU